rnacentral:hammerhead_ribozyme from 1 species
GCACUGCUGAAGAGUCCCAUAAUAGGACGAAACGGCUGUCUAAUGC